GAUCCUGGCUCAGGAUGAACGCUAGCGACAGGCUUAACACAUGCAAGUCGAGGGGCAGCAUGAGGUAGCAAUACCUUGAUGGCGACCGGCGCACGGGUGAGUAACGCGUAUCCAACCUGCCCAUCACUUGGGAAUAACCUUGCGAAAGUAAGACUAAUACCCAAUGAUAUCCCACGAAGGCAUCCGAAUGGGAUUAAAGAUUUAUCGGUGAUGGAUGGGGAUGCGU
rnacentral:rRNA from 1 species